GGGCUCGUAGCUUAGUUGGCUAGAGCGCAUCAUUUGCAAUGAUGAGGUCGAGGGUUCGAAUCCCUCCGAGUCCA
rnacentral:tRNA from 1 species